UGGCGAGCGGGUGAGUAACACGUGGGUAAUCUGCCCUGCACUCUGGGAUAAGCCUGGGAAACUGGGUCUAAUACUGGAUAUGACCUUUCUCCUUAUGGGGUUUGGUGGAAAGUUUUUCGGUGUAGGAUGAGCCCGCGGCCUAUCAGCUUGUUGGUGGGGUGAUGGCCUACCAAGGCGACGACGGGUAGCCGGCCUGAGAGGGUGAUCGGCCACAUUGGGACUGAGAUACGGCCCAG
rnacentral:rRNA from 1 species